AGUGAACGCUGGCGGUAGGCCUAACACAUGCAAGUCGAACGGCAGCACAGUAAGAGCUUGCUCUUACCGGUGGCGGGUGGCGGACGGGUGAGGAAUACAUCGGAAUCUACUUUUUCGUGGAGGAUAACGUAAGGAAACUUACGCUAAUACCGCAUACGACCUACCGGUGAAAGCAGUGGAACUUCGGAGCUUUCGCGAUUGAAUGAGCCGAUUUCGGAUUAGCUAGUUGGCGGGGUAAAGGCCCACCAAGGCGGCGAUCCGUAGCUGGUCUGAGAGGAUGGUCGGCCACACUGGAACUGAGACACGGUCCAGACUCCUACGGGAGGCAGCAGUGGGGAAUAUUGGGCAAUGGGCGCAAGCCUGAUCCAGCCAUACCGCGUGGGUGAAGAAGGCCUUCGGGUUGUAAAGCCCUUUUGUUGGGAAAGAAAAGCAGCAGGUUAAUACCCCGCUGUUCUGACGGUACCCAAAGAAUAAGCACCGGCUAACUUCGUG
rnacentral:rRNA from 1 species